GACGAACGCUGGCGGCGUGCUUAACACAUGCAAGUCGAACGGAAAGGCCCUGCUUUUGUGGGGUGCUCAAGUGGCGAACGGGUGAGUAACACGUGAGUAACCUGCCCUUGACUUUGGGAUAACUUCAGGAAACUGGGGCUAAUACCGGAUAGGAGCUCCUGCUGCAUGGUGGGGGUUGGAAAGUUUCGGCGGUUGGGGAUGGACUCGCGGCUUAUCAGCUUGUUGGUGGGGUAGUGGCUUACCAAGGCUUUGACGGGUAGCCGGCCUGAGAGGGUGACCGGCACAUUGGGACUGAGAUACGGCCCAGACUCCUACGGGAGGCAGCAGUGGGGAAUAUUGCACAAUGGGCGGAAGCCUGAUGCAGCAACGCCGCGUGCGGGAUGACGGCCUUCGGGUUGUAAACCGCUUUCGCCUGUGACGAAGCGUGAGUGACGGUAAUGGGUAAAGAAGCACCGGCUAACUACGUG
rnacentral:rRNA from 1 species